rnacentral:rRNA from 1 species
UACGUAGGGUGCGAGCGUUAAUCGGAAUUACUGGGCGUAAAGCGUGCGCAGGCGGUUUUGUAAGUCAGAUGUGAAAUCCCCGGGCUCAACCUGGGAACUGCGUUUGAAACUACAAGGCUAGAGUUUGGCAGAGGGGGGUGGAAUUCCACGUGUAGCAGUGAAAUGCGUAGAGAUGUGGAGGAAUACCGAUGGCGAAGGCAGCCUCCUGGGCCAACACUGACGCUCAUGCACGAAAGCGUGGGGAGCAAACAGG